GACGAACGCUGGCGGCGUGCCUAACACAUGCAAGUCGAACGGAGAAUUUUAUUUCGGUAGAAUUCUUAGUGGCGAACGGGUGAGUAACGCGUAGGCAACCUACCCUUUAGACGGGGACAACAUUCCGAAAGGAGUGCUAAUACCGGAUGUGAUCAUCUUGCCGCAUGGCAGGAUGAAGAAAGAUGGCCUCUACAAGUAAGCUAUCGCUAAAGGAUGGGCCUGCGUCUGAUUAGCUAGUUGGUAGUGUAACGGACUACCAAGGCGAUGAUCAGUAGCCGGUCUGAGAGGAUGAACGGCCACAUUGGGACUGAGACACGGCCCAAACUCCUACGGGAGGCAGCAGUGGGGAAUCUUCCGCAAUGGACGAAAGUCUGACGGAGCAACGCCGCGUGAGUGAUGAAGGAUUUCGGUCUGUAAAGCUCUGUUGUUUAUGACGAACGUGCAGUGUGUGAACAAUGCAUUGCAAUGACGGUAG
rnacentral:rRNA from 1 species